AUCUCUGUAGCUCAAUGGAUAGCGCGUUGGACUUCUAAUUCAAACGUCAUGAGUUCGAUUUCACCUGGGAUG